rnacentral:rRNA from 1 species
GACCUCGCGCUAUAAGAUGAGCCUACGUCGGAUUAGCUUGUUGGUGGGGUAAUGGCUUACCAAGGCGACGAUCCGUAGCUGGUCUGAGAGGAUGGCCAGCCACACUGGGACUGAGACACGGCCCAGACUCCUACGGGAGGCAGCAGUGGGGAAUAUUGGACAAUGGGGGAAACCCUGAUCCAGCAAUGCCGCGUGUGUGAAGAAGGCCUUCGGGUUGUAAAGCACUUUCGGUGGGGAAGAAAUUCUCAAGGGUAAUAUCCUUGGGCGUUGACGUUACCCACAGAAGAAGCACUGGCUAACUCUGUGCCAGCAGCCGCGGUAAUACAGAGAGUGCAAGCGUUAAUCGGAAUCACUGGGCGUAAAGCGCGCGUAGGUGGAUAUUUAAGUCGGAUGUGAAAGCCCCGGGCUUAACCUAGGAAUUGCACCCGAUACUGGGUAUCUUGAGUAUGGUAGAGGGAAGUGGAAUUUCCAGUGUAGCGGUGAAAUGCGUAGAUAUUGGAAAGAACACCAGUGGCGAAGGCGACUUCCUGGACCAAUACUGACACUGAGGCGCGAAAGCGUGGGGAGCAAACAGGAUUAGAGACCCUGGUAGUCCACGCCGUCAACGAUGAGAACUAACUGUUGGGGAGUUUACUUCUUAGUAGCGAAGCUAACGCGUUAAGUUCUCCGCCUGGGGAGUACGGCCGCAAGGUUAAAACUCAAAGAAAUUGACGGGGGCCCGCACAAGCGGUGGAGCAUGUGGUUUAAUUCGAUGCAACGCGAAAAACCUUACCUACCCUUGACAUCCUCGGAACUUGUCAGAGAUGAUUUGGUGCCUUCGGGAACCGAGUGACAGGUGCUGCAUGGCUGUCGUCAGCUCGUGUCGUGAGAUGUUGGGUUAAGUCCCGUAACGAGCGCAACCCUCGUCCUUAGUUGCCAGCGAGUCAUGUCGGGAACUCUAAGGAGACUGCCGGCGAUAAACCGGAGGAAGGUGGGGAUGAUGUCAAGUCAUCAUGGCCCUUACGGGUAGGGCUACACACGUGCUACAAUGGGCAGUACAAAGGGUUGCCAAGCCGCGAGGUGGAGCUAAUCCCAGAAAACUGCUCGUAGUCCGGAUUGGAGUCUGCAACUCGACUCCAUGAAGUUGGAAUCGCUAGUAAUCGCGAAUCAGCAUGUCGCGGUGAAUACGUUCUCGGGCCUUGUACACACCGCCCGUCACACCAUGGGAGUG